rnacentral:rRNA from 1 species
UACAGAGGGGGCAAGCGUUGUUCGAAAUUACUGGGCGUAAAGGGCUCGUAGGCGGCCAACUAAGUCGGAUGUGAAAUCCCCAGGCUUAACCUGGGAACUGCAUCCGAUACUGGAUGGCUUGAAUCCGGGAGAGGGAUGCAGAAUUCCAGGUGUAGCGGUGAAAUGCGUAGAUAUCUGGAGGAAUACCGGUGGCGAAGGCGGCAUCCUGGACCGGCAUUGACGCUGAGUGAGCGAAAGCCAGGGGAGCAAACGGG